rnacentral:rRNA from 1 species
AGAGUUUGAUCAUGGCUCAGGACGAACGCUGGCGGCGUGCUUAAUACAUGCAAGUCGAGCGAGGCCUUGGAAUUGGAGUCCUUCGGGAUGAAGAGUCCUUGGCCUAGCGGCGGACGGGUGAGUAACGCGUGGGCAACCUACCCCAAAGUCCGGGAUAACAGUGGGAAACCGCUGCUAAUACCGGAUGGCUUUACCUGAGGGCAUCCUUGGGUAAAGAAAGGUUACGCUUUGGGAUGGGCCCGCGUCCCAUUAGCUAGUUGGUGAGGUAACGGCUCACCAAGGCGACGAUGGGUAGCCGGCCUGAGAGGGUGAACGGCCACACUGGGACUGAGACACGGCCCAGACUCCUACGGGAGGCAGCAGUAGGGAAUAUUGCGCAAUGGGCGGAAGCCUGACGCAGCGACGCCGCGUGAGCGAAGAAGGCCUUCGGGUCGUAAAGCUCUGUCCUUGGGGAAGAAGGCGAAAGCUUGACGGUACCCAAGAAGAAAGCCCCGGCUAACUACGUGCCAGCAGCCGCGGUAAUACGUAGGGGGCGAGCGUUGUCCGGAAUUACUGGGCGUAAAGGGUGCGUAGGCGGCCUUUUAAGUCAGAUGUGAAAGGCUGCGGCUUAACCGCAGGACUGCAUUUGAAACUGGAAGGCUUGAGUGUCGGAGAGGGUAGUGGAAUUCCCAGUGUAGCGGUGAAAUGCGUAGAUAUUGGGAGGAACACCAGUGGCGAAGGCGACUGCCUGGACGAUAACUGACGCUGAGGCACGAAAGCUAGGGGAGCAAACAGGAUUAGAUACCCUGGUAGUCCUAGCCGUAAACGAUGGGUACUAGGUGUAGGUGGUUUCGAUACCAUCUGUGCCGCAGUUAACGCAAUAAGUACCCCGCCUGGGGAGUACGGUCGCAAGACUGAAACUCAAAUGAAUUGACGG